rnacentral:rRNA from 1 species
AUAACAAUACAGGACUCUUUAGAGGCCCUGUAAUUGUAAUGAGUCCACUUGAAAUCCUUUAACUAUAAUCAAUUGGAGGUCAAGUCUGGAGCAGAGCGACUGACCCGUGCGUGCUGCAGCUGAAACUCCAC